rnacentral:rRNA from 1 species
AACGCGAAGAACCUUACCUACCCUUGACAUGUCUUGGAUCGGUUUCAGAGAUGAGACCUUCUCUUCGGAGCCAGGAACACAGGUGCUGCAUGGCUGUCGUCAGCUCGUGUCGUGAGAUGUUGGGUUAAGUCCCGCAACGAGCGCAACCCUUGCCUUUAGUUGCCAUCAUUCAGUUGGGCACUCUAGAGGGACUGCCGGUGAUAAGCCGGAGGAAGGUGGGGAUGACGUCAAGUCCUCAUGGCCCUUACGGGUAGGGCUACACACGUGCUACAAUGGUGGUGACAAUGGGCAGCGAGGCGGUGACGCCAAGCUAAUCUCAAAAAGCCAUCUCAGUUCAGAUUGCACUCUGCAACUCGAGUGCAUGAAGUUGGAAUCGCUAGUAAUCGCUAAUCAGCAGGUAGCGGUGAAUACGUUCCCGGGCCUUGUACACACCGAGUAUA